UUACAAAAGUUAUUUUAAAGUUAAACAUUUAUUUUCAGUUCAUUGUAUAUCAUUUCCCAGAAAGCCUUUAUUGCCUUACAUGACCACCAUAUAUGAUAAAAGGUACAGUGGUACCUCGGUUUACAAACUUAAUCUGUUCUGGAAGUCCGUUAUUAAACCGAAACCGUUCCUAAACCGAGACACGCUUUCCCUAAUGAGGCCUCCCGCCACUGGUGCCCUUCCACCGUUCGGAUUCCGUUCUUGGACCGAGGUAGAGUUCUCAAAACGGGACACUACUUCCGGUUUUGCAGAGUUCGUAAACUGAUUCGUUCUUAAACAGGACUGUUCUUAAACUGAGGUACCAUUGUACCUUCUUUUUCUCCACAGUUUAACUAUCAAUAGCCUUAUCGUCCACAAUUCUCCCUUUCCCAUUCUCCUACAGAGGAGUUUUCAGCCUUUAAAAAAAAUGCUUUAAUUAGCAGGGUUAGGGUAAAAUUUGGAGUUUUUGAAAGCGUGGUGGAAUGCUGGUGUUCUUUGCUUGCAUCCAAAAGAAAGUGCUUGGAGGUGUCUUGCGGAAUCCCACAAAGGAGACACUAACGCCGGUUCUCUGUUUCCCCCUCCAGACAACUUCGUCAGCCCUCAAAGGUGCCAUCCAGCUUGGGAUCACCCACACGGUAGGGAGCCUGAGCACCAAGCCAGAGCGAGAUGUCCUCAUGCAAGAUUUCUACGUAGUGGAGAGCAUCUUCUUCCCGGGUGAAGGCAGCAACCUCACCCCAGCCCAUCACUACAACGAUUUCCGCUUCAAAACCUACGCUCCUGUCGCUUUCCGCUAUUUCCGUGAACUGUUUGGGAUCCGGCCGGAUGACUACCUGUGCUCCCUUUGCAGUGAGCCCCUCAUCGAGCUCUCCAACUCCGGAGCCAGCGGCUCCAUCUUCUACGUCACCAGUGACGACGAGUUCAUCAUCAAAACAGUUCAGCACAAAGAGGCAGAGUUCUUGCAGAAGCUGCUGCCGGGUUACUACAUGAACUUGAACCAGAACCCCAGGACCCUCCUCCCCAAGUUCUACGGCCUCUACUGUGUGCAAGCUGGCGGCAAGAACAUCCGGAUUGUGGUGAUGAACAACCUGCUGCCCCGCUCCGUGCGCAUGCACCAGAAGUACGACCUGAAAGGCUCCACCUACAAGCGCCGGGCUUCCCAGAAGGAGCGGGAGAAGGUCUUCCCCACCUACAAGGACCUGGAUUUCAUGCAGGACAUUGCCGACGGCCUCUUCCUGGACGCUGACAUGUACAGCGCCUUGUGCAAGACACUGCAGAGAGACUGCUUGGUUUUGCAGAGCUUCAAAAUCAUGGACUACAGCUUGCUCGUGGCAGUCCACAACAUCGACCUGGCUCAGCGGGAGCGUGCCGUGGCAGAUGGGGUGGCCGUGGCGGACACACGGCGGCCAGCACCCCAGAAGGCCCUGUACUCCACAGCAAUGGAGGCCAUCCAAGGGGAAGCCCGGCGAGGUGGCACUAUUGAAACAGAUGACCAAAUGGGAGGGAUCCCGGCCCGGAACGCCAAGGGGGAGAGGCUGCUUCUCUACGUGGGGAUCAUCGAUGUGCUGCAAUCUUACAGGUUCAUUAAGAAGUUGGAGCACUCGUGGAAAGCCCUUGUUCAUGAUGGGGAUACAGUUUCGGUUCACCGGCCCAGUUUUUAUGCAGAAAGAUUCCAGCGGUUCAUGUGUAACAUUGUCUUCAAGAAAAUCCCUUUUAAAUCUUCCCCUUCGAAAAAGAGCCGGUCUGGUGCAGGACCUCCCCGGCGGCCAGGCCAGGGUGGCGCCCCAUCCCAGGUGCAAGGGCUGUGCGAGGCAAAAGCGCAGUUCACGAUGGAGGCGGAAAUCGAGCAAGGUUCCCAGCUGGGCCGCCCUGACCUUCUCCCCCACACUCCCCUUGCAGAGGAAAUAAACAGCGACUCAGCUGCCACAACCUUAUCCACCUCCUCCUUGGGGAGCAGAAGCCACGAUUCACCAGCCAACAGGUCGAUAGGAGUGGAAGUGCACAAAUCAGGUACCUCAAUGGAUCCGACUCCAGAGAGCUCCUUCCCUAGGUCACAGGAAAACAGCUUAUCUUCAGAGGUAGCUAGUUCAACGUUCUCCCAAGUAGGUGAAAAACUCACCCUGUCAGACAAGGAAGGCAUCAAUGUGCGGUGUCCCAAUAAUACCCUGGAAUGGGAAGAACCUCUGGACCUCCAGAUGUUGCCAGACUACAGUUCCCAUCAUUAUCAUCAUCCCUGAAUGUUGGCUGUGCUGGUUGAUGGGAGUUGGGAGUUCCAGCAAUCUCUGCAGGGCCACAGAUAGUGGUCACCCCCAUCCCUUAAGGCACAGACCCCUCCCCCCGGCGUGGAAUUGCAAGUUGGAAACUGCCUUGGGUUUGGGUUUUUUCCCCUCUUUCGUGGGAUGUUGAGUCACAUUCAGCAAAAUCUAAUUCCUGCUCAGCCAGAAAUUUUUCACUCAAGACUUUUGCACAGUUUUAAUUCUCCUGCAUGUAGAAAGCUAGUUCAUCAGGGAGAAGGGGAGGUUUGCUGCUUGCAGCAAUUUUCAUUUAUUUUUUAUAGAUGAUCCCCAAAUCCAUAGCUGUCAAGUUUUCCCUUUUCUCACGAUGAAGCCUAUUCAACAUAAGGGAAUUUGCCUUUAAAAAAGGGAAAACUUGACAGCUAUGCCCAGAUCCCAUCAAACUGCCACCUGCAGCCAAGACACAGACUUUCUCUCUCUAGUGAGAUCAGCUUCUUUCUGCAGCUGAACUCUCUCUUGGUUCAGGUUGGGGCAGAGAAUUGGUCUGGAGAAGUUAACUGGAUUCAAAACAAGCAAGAUCAGAGAAAGAGCAACAGGAACCUGGGAAGAGCUAAGCAAGCAGCUGUAUAGAAAUAAGAUCCCACCUUUCAUCCCCGUGUGCUUCAAGAGUUACUCUUGUUAGCAGCAAUAAAGUUUUUGACUUCUCAAAUGCCCCCUCCCCACCACCCUCCAUGGAAAUGAUGAAUGGGGAGGAAGCUUUGGUUUUUACCAGUUGGUUUGGCUGAGAUUUUUUCCUGUGUGUUGUGGGUUAAACUAAUCAACAAGGAGCUGAUCUUUCCCCUUCCUGCAGUGGAGGCGAAGGAAAGGCUCAGCAGCCCUGAGACCCCUCUGGGAACCAGCAGGAAGCUCCUUGCAUCUUGAUGGUCCCCUCUUCUCUGACUCUCACAUGCUGCUAAAGAGCUUCCCUUGGGGGCAUCUGGUUGGGCUCUGUGAGAACAGGAAUCUAGACAAGAUGAACCUCCUUUGGCCUGAUACAGCUGUGGGGUUCUUUGGGGGAGAAGCCCUUACUACUGAUCAGCUGGCCACUUAUGGGGAGGAAAGGGAUUCCUUUGUAGCAAACACCUGCCCAUGAAAGCUGGUACCAUAAACGAACACCAGUCCUGUUUUUGAGCAGCCUUUGCGGUGUAACCUGGGGAGGGUACACUUCAUAAUCAUAGCGGCCUUUUUUAAAGCAUCUUCUUUUCUCCCCUCUGCCCCCACCCAGCAUUUCUCCAGGACCCUCCGCACCAGGACGUCCCUCUGAGCUGACGGAGCAAUUUGAAGACUUGCCAGAGACGGAGAUCAGCUUUUGAAAUAUCAUGGGGUGGAUUCCUUCUUUAGACAUGAGCGGAAGACUUUCCUCCACACACUCUGCGUUGUCUGUGGAGCACUGAACCUCCAGCCCUUCCCAGGCUGCUGAUACCUAGAACUUUUAAGUGAUCCGAACAGACAAAACGGGGGGCUCAGCCCCUCUCUCA